GAAAGCAGGGGCAUGGAGGCCCUGCCCGUGCGGGAUUCCCCUUCACCAUUGCACUGGUUUAGCAUGGAUUGGGGCAAUCCAGAAGCUGUUCUGGAGGCCCCAACGUCUUCCCAGCCAAGCCUGGGGUCACUGGCAUGUAAAAGGAUCCCAGCUCCAGAGGUUCAGGGAAGUGGGCAGGGCGUACAGAUUCCACAUCUCUGAGGGGGGUUUGCUUUCUUCAGAAGUCUCAGGGACCAGUUCUGAACCUGAUUCGAAUGCUGCAAGUGCUGGCAGCCCCAAAGCCCAGGGGUCUCUUCAUCAUUAUGUGAGACCACCAUGACUGUAUGUAAGCAAAUGCAAAUGUCUCCUUCACAGGUGUGGCUGGACUAUAUCUGCCCUAAGUAAGCUUGCUUCAAAACGAGAGGCUUCACUGUCUUCUACCCUGCUAUCUCCGCAUGUAGCAAGGGAUUUCUG